UUGACAGGUGCGUCAGGCCGGCAGCGGGGCAGUUCGCUGAGGGGCUUCCUUAGCGCUCGCUUGCUGGUCUACAGUUUUGGCCCCAUUUUUUGGUUUAUUUUAUUUAUUUACCUCAUAAAAUUCAAGAGACCACUUCAUAUUAUUUUAUUUUUAAAGAUGAAAAUUAACCAAAGUGAUGGUGGUGGUUUGUUGUUGUUUUUAAAAAAACCUACCUGAGUUCUCGUUUGCCGGUCUAAAAUUUUGGCUCCUUUUUUUUUUUUUUUGCUUUGUUUUAUUUAUUUACCUCAUAAAAUUCAAGAGACCACUUGAUUUUAUUUUAUUUUUAAAGAUAAAAAUUAACCAAAGUGGUGGUGGUGUGUUUUGUUUUUUUAAAAAAUACCUCAAACCUACCUGAGCUCUUGCUUGCCGGUAUCAAAUUUUGGCUCCUUUUUUUGCUUUGUUUUAUUUAUUUACCUCAUAAAAUUCAAGAGACCACUUGAUUUUAUUUUAUUUUUAAAGAUAAAAAUUAACCAAAGUGGUGGUGGUGUGUUUUGUUUUGUUUUGUUUUUAAAAUAAAUACCUCAAAACUACCUGAGCUCUCGCUUGCCGGUAUCAAAUUUUGGCUCCUUUUUUUGCUUUGUUUUAUUUCUCUCAUAAAAUUCAAUUUAAUUUUUAUCUUUUUUAUUAAAAAAAGGUUUGGUUUUUUUAAAAAAACAACCACCUUGAAGCAGUUUGCAAAAAAAAGGACAAAACAAUAAACUCAGUUAUUUUUCUUUUUACAACGGUGCUUUAAAAACACACGGGAAGUUAAAACAGAUUUUUAAAAAGCCCACCCCAGCAUUUCUAAGCACCUGGCUAGUUUUGCCCAAAUGAAAAUGUUUUUAAGUGGGGGCUGAAAGGAAGGCAGUGAAAAGGCACAAAACAACCAAGUUCUCACCUGGAUUGCCUGAUUUACGGAACUAUAAUCAAGGUGUGGCAACUAUGGCAGCGUUUGAAUGAUUUCUGUUUAAACAAUAAAAUGUUUGAAGUAAAAUAAGACAAAGGGUUUAGUGAAGAAGACGUUAAGUUUAUUAUGAACAUAACUGAAUUAUGAAAUUUAUUUUAGUACAAGUAGUUUUCUAAAGUAAAUAUACUGGGUAAAUACAUUGGGCGUGGACAGGAAGUCAUGUAUAAAGAUAUGAAAUGUAGAAUAAUAGAAUGGAAGAUGAUAUUGUAGUUAACUGGAAAAUUAUUAGUGUUUUUUCCUUUGAUGGCCACUGGUCCCAUCACCUGGCAAAUAGAAGGGGAAGAAAUGGAGGCAGUGAGAGUUUUAAUUUCUUGGGUUCCAUGAUCACUGCAGAUGGUGACAGCAGCCACGAAAUUAAAAGACGCCUGCUUCUUGGGAGAAAAGCAAUGACAAACCCAGACAACAUCUUAAAAAGCAGAGACAUCACCUUGCCAACAAAGGUCCGUAUAGUUCAAGCUAUGGUUUUCCCAGUAGUGAUGUAUGGAAGUGAGAGCUGGACCAUCAAGAAGGCUGAUCGCCGAAGAAUGGAUGCUUUUGAAUUCUGGUGCUGGAGGAGACUCUUGAGAGUCCCAUGGACUGCAAGAAGAUCAAACCGAUCCAUUCUGAAGGAAAUCAGCCCUGAGUGCUCCCUGGAAGGACAGAUCCUGAAGCUGAGGUGCCAAUACUUUGGCCACCUCAUGAGAAGAGAAGACUCCCUGGAAAAGACCCUGAUGUUGGGAAAGAUGGAGGGCACAAGGAGAAGGGGACAACAGAGGACAAGAUGGUGGGACAGUGUUCUCGAAGCUACCAACAUGUUUGACCAAACUGCGGGAGGCAAUGGAAGACAGGAGUGCCUGGCAUGCUCUGGUCCAGGGGGUCACGAAGAGGCGGACAUGACUAAACGACCCAACAACAACUGUUUCUAUCAACUUGUAAUGCAAAUUCUAUGUUAUGUUUCUUUUUUAAUUUAUCAAAGUGGUGGGCGGGGAGAAGAACUUGGCCCGGUAGCUGAUGGGCAACCAGUGCAGACCUCUGUCGUAUGCUGGCAAGGCCUCCUGUCAGCAAUUGUGCUGCAGCAUCCUGCACUAACUGCAUCCUCUGGAUCAAGCAGAGUGAUGCAUCUUCAUAUUCUCGUAAACUCCAGUGCUUCAGUCUGUCAGAGUCUGCCCUGAUUACUGUAUUAUGUAUUUUAGAUGCAAAAAUCCCACUUGCAUUCAUUUGAUGGAAAGGGCUGGGACUGUGAUUUGUAAUGUUUUUACUGUAAAUAUUUAUAUAUUUUAAUAGAUAUAUUUUAAUAUACACACAUACACAUUCAUUAUUGUUUUAUCUAAAUGAUUAUCUAAAUGUCUCUAUUUUAUCUGUAAGCUGCCUUGAGUCCCUGGGGAAAAGGCAUAAUAAUAACACCACCAACAACAACAAUUUGAGCUUUUCUCCUAGGUUAGUGUGCACAGGGCACUGAUUCAUAAGGAUUUAUUUUAGCUGGGCAGUUGCACAAAGCACAGCAAUCUGCUUUCAUUUUUAAAACGAUUUUCAUUUAUUUAUUUGCUAUUUUACUUUUAAAGGUAAAAUAGGAACAAAAGGCAUACAAUUAGGAUAAGUACUAGGUACUCAGUAAAGAAUAAAAAUAUGCCCCCUACUCUCAUUCGCCAAUGUUCUGUCCCACCAGCAAAAUCACUGAGUUAAUUAACAGGAUUUUAAAAUGCUAUAGAAAAAACAUAUUUUAUUAAUAAUAAUUUAACUGUUGAUGCAUCUGGGGAGUACUUCGAAAGAAAGAACACAAGAAAUAUGAUCUUUGAUAGGACCCCUAAAUAAAUAAUAUUGGAUACAGCACCAGCUACGGGAAAGAACUUUCAUACAUUAUAGAAAUAUGGAAAGACUAAUCUAAGGAAUAAAAUAUGAAAGAUGUUAAAAAUCUCCUUUGUAAAAAAGUCUGAAGCCUUUCUACUGGGUAUAAUUGAUACAGACAUUCCUAAAAAUAUGAGGAAGGUCUUUAUGUAUGCAACAGUUGCAGCAAAAAUUUUAAUAGCAAAAAAUGGAAAGGAGAAACUACCCCGACUAAACUGGACUGGCAGGCAAAACUAUUGGAAUAUACAGAACUAGCAAGAAUGACAGGAAGAAUUAGAGACAAUACAGAACAAACUUUUAUUAGAGAGUGGGACAUUCAUAGAACAUACCUUGAAGAGCAUUGUAAAAAUGUGAAUCCUCUGGCAGGUUUAGACUGAUUCCUGUAUGAACAUAGAAAACUUUGCAAAAAUAAAACUUGGGCAAAGUUUGAAGAGAUAAUGAAAAGCGGGUUACAUAAAAGAAAACCGGGACCCUUGAUGGGGUGGCUGGAAGUCACAAUGGAAGUUAUGUUGUAAGAAUUUAAUUUAUCCUUUGUAAAUCGUAGUAAUCUUUGGUUCUUUUUGGUUGAUUAUAAUUUUUCUUUUUAAAACUAAGAAAGCAAUAAAUAUUUUUUUAAAAAAAUGAAAGGGAGGGAGCCUGUUGCCCUCCAGGUAGUGAGACUCCAGCUCCUAUCAGCCCCACCCUGAAUGGCCAACAGUUGUAGUCCAACAACAUAUGGAGGCCUACUGGUUCCUCAUUUAUGAAUUUAUAAAUUUAUAAAUAAUUCCUGAUUUAGCACCUGUGGUGUGCUAGAGACUCAAUGCCUUCCUCAGGGGGCUUAUCUUCAACAGGAUAGGUGGGGCAGAGGUAAAUUGAGAGCUGCACUGGAUGGGGCUGAUGGGAGUUGAGCUGUUUUGCCAAACACCUGGAGGGCACCAGGUUGGCAAAGGCUGCUCCAGAGAGAAGGGAAUGGGAACUACAUGCUAGAGCUGCUUGCUUACAAGUCUGUUUUCAUUUCGCCAGGCUAAUCUCCAAUCCCCCUGAAAGAUUUUGAAAGCAAAGCUGGCUGCUGAACUUUCCUGAUUAUUUUCAGCCUCCAAGGAACAGAAGAACCGCCGGCAUCAAGGCAAUUUCCUCCUCGCACAGCAACUUUCCUCAUAAUGCUCCUGAUUAGUUUUACUGAACUGCCUCUUGUCUGGUUCUUGCGCUUUGGUGGGGGAAGUAUUUUUGAUUGCUUGGUGUUCCCAAAUUCACAGGUGACCUUAACUGGAAAAAUUCAAUUUCAUCAGGUAGCAGACAACCUGACAGUGUAAUUGUCUAUCAGGGAAUGACAACUUUAAAAUUUUGAGAGUCCA